rnacentral:rRNA from 1 species
GUGCACGCUGGCGGUAGGCCUAACCCCUGCAAGUCGAACGGCAGCACAGUAAGAGCUUGCUCUUACGGGUGGCGAGUGGCGGACGGGUGAGAAAUACAUCGGAAUCUACUUUUUCGUGGGGGAUAACGUAGGGAAACUUACGCUAAUACCGCAUACGACCUACGGGUGAAAGCAGGGGAUCUUCGGACCUUGCGCGAUUGAAUGAGCCGAUGUCGGAUUAGCUAGUUGGCGGGGUAAAGGCCCACCAAGGCGACGAUCCGUAGCUGGUCUGAGAGGAUGAUCAGCCACACUGGAACUGAGACACGGUCCAGACUCCUACGGGAGGCAGCAGUGGGGAAUAUUGGACAAUGGGCGCAAGCCUGAUCCAGCCAUACCGCGUGGGUGAAGAAGGCCUUCGGGUUGUAAAGCCCUUUUGUUGGGAAAGAAAAGCAGCAGGUUAAUACCCCGCUGUUCUGACGGUACCCAAAGAAUAAGCACCGGCUAACUUCGUG